GUAUUUCCUAAAAAAUUGGAAACUUUCCUCAGUCCCAGAGUAAUGUCUUUUCAAUAUUUGUGCAAUGACCCUUAUUGAGAUGAUUUAUGAAGAAAAAAAUGGCAUCAGGUUGCAACAUCCUUUCCAAAAUCAGAUUUUUUAAUUUAAAUUGUUUUUUUUUUGUCUUUUAAAUAGGAUUACGGUAAAACAAAAAGGGGGAUUAGGCCUAUUCGAAAAGGAAAACUGGCACUGCCUAGUGAAAAUGAGAGAGUGCGAUCUUAACCAUAAUCACUCAUGAGUCAUGACAUGAUCAUGUACUUACUAUGUUUUCAGCAUCAAUGCUAGUCAGACCCAAGUAUCGACCGAUCAAAUUCUGCCUCAGGUUGAAUAUACCCCCACUUACAUGUAAACAUAUGGUAAGGCCAAGGGGGAGAAUUCGACCAGAAUAAGGCAAACCAGCACUGCUAAGGGUAACUGAACGAGUGAUAUCUAUUUAGCGUCAACAAUGCAGCAACAAACAGGAUCAGUACCAAGAAAGCAUCGACAAGGUCAAAAUGCACUCUUUUGCAUAAAUCAAUAAUCAAACCCCUGUAUGCCAGUGUUAGCAAUUUGCAUUUGCUGCAUGUGCACUGGGUAUAUUGACUUAGUUGAGUUUUGCAGGGUGCUUCAGCCUAGCAUAAAUGUUGUCGUGAUAGUUGGGAAUUCGGGAUAAAACCCUGAUGUGAUGCCAAAUCUGGGUUUACAGUAAAGUAUCGAAUCCAGUGUGGAUGUGAUGACUAGUAGGGAGGCGUCUUCUGAUAUAAAUGAGGACUGACCCAAAUGACAACUGAUCCACACGAUGUGCAUUGAUUUUCAUUUUAAUGAGCAUUGUGCUUGUACAUGUUGCAAGUUCAUGAGUAAUGAACUGCUAGUAAGCUACCACAGAAACAUUUGUGGUUUAAAAUUAAUAUUCAACUGAAAAAAGUAGGUCCUGCUUUGCUGAAAAAUAGAUGACCCUACAUGUAGUCAAUUAUUCAGGGUGAAAAUUUGCAAUUUUUACUAAAGCAUGACCUUUUUCAGGGAUUUUACAAGCAGAAAUGUAGGGAGGGGGACAUCGGAGCACUGACUUGAAAGGGCUUGGAUCUAAUGAAGUUUUAAAAAAAUUAGGGAUUUACAAAAUGGUGAUUUCAUUUGGUUAAAACAAAUCUCUCCAAAAUGAAAAAGUUCAAAGCUUGCACUAGGUUUUCCUCCUAAAUCUAAAAGUGCAAUGUCUACACAUUGUCUUCUCUUUUAUUGUCCCCGUGGGAGACCAGUGGAUUCCACUGAAUGGGCUAAGAAUUAAAUAAAGAUUUGAUUUAAUACAGUUUACGUUUAUUCAACAGAUUGACGGAGUUACAAGAACAUGAGACAAAGAUCGGCUGUUUACAAUAGAGUCGUCCGUGAUGGAUUAAUUUGAGAAGAAACGGGAAGGUUUUUUUUCCGACAUUCUUUGGGUCAGAAUAAAGUAUAAUAGCAGAGUUCAGCUGAGAAAACGGGGAAGUUUUUUUCUGACAUAUCACUGGGUCAGAAUGAAGCAUCUUUAGCCAAAUUUAGCUGAAGGGCACCACUUUGUGUGUGAUCCUUCUACCAGAAUGAACUUAAUGGAUGCCCUUUUGUGCUUGGUCCUUCCACCAGACUGAGCUGAAAUAUAAGCGGAGCAUGAGAUGCGAGAUACAGAAAGCAGUUUCGGAGUCCAGCACCAACAAGAAGUUGGACAGGCAUUUGUCUUUUGCGUUUUCGGACUUAAGCUAACCAAUGGCCAGCAGGAGACAUUUCAACAGUGACUGCGCAUGCCGAGUUGCUCACUCUUG